rnacentral:rRNA from 1 species
UGGGGAAUAUUGCACAAUGGGCGAAAGCCUGAUGCAGCAACGCCGCGUGAGUGAUGAAGGCCUUCGGGUUGUAAAGCUCUGUCUUUUGGGACGAUAAUGACGGUACCAAAGGAGGAAGCCACGGCUAACUACGUGCCAGCAGCCGCGGUAAUACGUAGGUGGCAAGCGUUGUCCGGAUUUACUGGGCGUAAAGGAUGCGUAGGCGGAUUUUUAAGUGAGAUGUGAAAACCCUAAGCUUAACUUGGGGACUGCAUUUCAUACUGGAAAUCUAGAGUGCGGGAGAGGAGAAUGGAAUUCCUAGUGUAGCGGUGAAAUGCGUAGAGAUUAGGAAGAACACCAGUGGCGAAGGCGAUUCUCUGGACCGUAACUGACGCUGAGGCAUGAAAGCGUGGGUAGCAAACAGGAUUAGAUACCCUGGUAGUCCACGCCGUAAACGAUGAGUACUAGGUGUAGGAGGUAUCGACCCCUUCUGUGCCGCAGUUAACACAAUAGGUACUCCGCCUGGGAAGUACGAUCGCAAGAUUAAAAA